UACGAAGGGGGCUAGCGUUGCUCGGAAUCACUGGGCGUAAAGCGCACGUAGGCGGAUUGCUAAGUCAGGGGUGAAAUCCUGGAGCUCAACUCCAGAACUGCCUUUGAUACUGGCGAUCUUGAGUCCGGGAGAGGUGAGUGGAACUGCGAGUGUAGAGGUGAAAAUUCGUAGAUAUUCGGAAGAAACACCAGUGGCGAAGGCGACUUACUGGACGACUGUUGACACUGAGGUGCGAAAGCGUGGGGAGCAAACAGG
rnacentral:rRNA from 1 species